AUCUAUGGCCAUGCCACUCUGAAUGUGUCCGAUCUCAUCUGAUCUCAGAAGCUAAGAAGGGUCAGGCCUGGUUAGUACUUGGAUGGGAGACCACCUAGGAAUACUGGGUGCUGUAGGCA
rnacentral:rRNA from 1 species